GAUACUUCGUAAAUAAAGAACGCGGGCCAAGCAGCGACGUGUAACAGCUGAUCCGUCUUCUGGGGUCAACGCCCUGAGACAGAUUCUCCCACCACCUGCUUCGCCACGCGACACUGGAAUAGGUCAGUGCGAGCAUACUAUGAUGUAAUAUUCCUACCCGUAAUGAGAGAUGGUGGUGGAACUGAGGGACAGUGGUGGGAUGCAUAAUUGCGAAUCGCGGAAUAGAUCGUCGAUCCAGCAAUUGCAAAUUGAUCAUGGACGGAGUUAUACACAUACGCGAAGAUGGAACUAGCUCAAACUGCAGCACAGGAAACAGAGAAGACAACAGAAUCGAAGGAAACAAAUAUGGAGGAGAAAGAAAGAA